UGCCCAUGCCAUACUUUUGCCUCA
rnacentral:miRNA from 1 species